rnacentral:rRNA from 1 species
GCAUAUCAAUAAGCCGGGGGG